GAAUUUGGAAAUUGCAUACUUGUUUUGAUAAAAUUAUUUUCAUAAAAAUAUGAUAUAUACAUUUUUAUCAAAAAUAUGGUUUAUUCUUAUGUUUUAAAUAAAUUUCAUAAGAUAAAAACUGUUUUCCAAUAUUUUCUAUUUAAACGAUUUUUCAAAAUCGUCGAAGUUAAUGGACUAACAAGAAGUUAUUCGAAUAACUUGAUUACCCAGAAAAUCAAGCUAUUUCCAGAUAGUCGACUAACCAGAAGUUACUCGACUAUAAUUCUCCAGAUAUUCGAAUAACCAGAAGUUAUUCGAGUAUAUCUGCCAGAAGCUACUCGACUAUAAUUCUCCAGAUAUUCGACUAUCCCAGAAGAUAAUCGAAUACCGCUCCCAGAUAGUCAACUAUCACAUAAAAUAUUCGACUAUCCACGGUCAAAUUUAAAAAAUCUGACCGUUUUAUAGCCGUUCAAAUCAGUCAAAAAAUCUGAUUUUUACCAUUCAAU
rnacentral:lncRNA from 1 species